CCGGACCUGACUGCUAUCGGAGUGUUACCCUCAUGCGAGUCAACCCGAAAGGGUGGCGGACGGCUCAACACACGUAGUCAACCUGCCCUACCCCACGUGGAAAACGUCUGGGAAACUGACGAUAACCCGCGAUAGGUCAUCGCUUCUGGAAUGGGCAAUGGCUCAAACCUACAUGGCCCUAGGAUGGGACUGCGGCCGAUCAGGUUGUUGGUGAGGUAAUGGCUCACCAAGCCUAUAACCGGUACGGGCUCUGAGAGGAGGAGCCCGGAGAUGGACACUGAGACAAGGGUCCAGGUCCUAUGGGACGCAGCAGGCGCGAAACCUUCGCAAUAGGCGAAAGCCUGACGAGGUUACUCCGAGUGUUUCCUGCUAAAGGAAUCUUUUGUCAGCUCUAAAAAUGCUGAUGAAUAAGGGGUGGGCAAGCCUGGUGUCAGCCGCCGCGGUAAUACCAGCACCCCGAGUGGUCAGGAUGAUUAUUUUGGCCUAAAGCAUCCGUUAGCCGGCCCCGUAAGUCUUCCGUUUAAAUCCACCUGCUCAACAGUUUGGGCUGCCGGGAGAUACUGUGAGGCUAGGAGGCGGGAGAGGCGAGGGGUAUUCCUUGGGUAGGGGUAAAAUCCUCUGAUCCAUGGAGGACCACCAGUGGCGAAGGCGUCUUCGCCAGAACGCGCUCGACGGUGAGGGAUGAAAGCUGGGGGAGCAAACCGGAUUAGAUACCCGGGUAGUCCCAGCUGUAAACGAUGUAGGCUCGGUGAUGGGUUGACUUUGAGUUAACCCAGUGCCGCAGGGAAGCCGUUAAGCCUACCGCCUGGGGAGUACGGUCGCAAGACUGAAACUUAAAGGAAUUGGCGGGGGAGCCACAAGGGGUGAAGCUGCGGUUCAAUGGAGUCAACGCCGG
rnacentral:rRNA from 1 species